rnacentral:rRNA from 1 species
GACAGAGGGUGCAAACGUUGUUCGGAUUUACUGGGCGUAAAGCGCGUGUAGGCGGCUUCGCAAGUUGGAUGUGAAAGCCCACGGCUCAACCGUGGAAGCGCAUCCAAAACUGCGUCGCUGGAGUCCCGGAGAGGAAGGUGGAAUGCUUGGUGUAGAGGUGAAAUUCGUAGAUAUCAAGCAGAACACCUGCGGCGAAGGCGGCCUUCUGGACGGUGACUGACGCUGAGACGCGAAAGCGUGGGGAGCGAACCGGG